UACAGAGGGUGCGAGCGUUGUCCGGAAUCACUGGGCGUAAAGGGCGCGUAGGCGGCUUGAUAAGGUUGCGGUGAAAGCCCGGGGUUCAACCCCGGGUCGGCCGUGGCAACUGUCGAGCUGGAGCACUGUAGAGGCAGGUGGAAUUCCGGGUGUAGCGGUGGAAUGCGUAGAGAUCCGGAAGAACACCGGUGGCGAAGGCGGCCUGCUGGGCAGUGGCUGACGCUGAGGCGCGACAGCGUGGGGAGCAAACAGG
rnacentral:rRNA from 1 species